rnacentral:lncRNA from 1 species
CCUGUUUAGUAUAAUUAUUAUAAGAUUGAAUUAAUUUUAUCUCGGUACUAUUCAAUAUAUCACCAAUGAAAGGAAAUAUUAGAGGAGUCUUUAAUGUCAGUUUCAAUGUCGAUCGCGAUUGGAAAUGUACAGUUAAUUUAAUUCCCGGUAAAUAUCCCGUGCAAGCAUUAGGCAAAGAGAUUAUAUUAGUGCCUAGUAAUGUGACAAUUUUGGUCUCUUCUGGGGAGUUCGCUAAUUGCGGACACUCUAUCACUAGACUUAAAGGUUUUGAGGUAGAAUAUACCCAUGUCCCCUUUUCAUCUAAACGUCUGAAUACCGGAGAAUGAGUA